GAUGAACGCUGGCGGCGUGCUUAACACAUGCAAGUCGAACGGAAAGGCUCCUGCUUGCAGGGGUACUCGAGUGGCGAACGGGUGAGUAACACGUGGGUGAUCUGCCCUGCACUUCGGGAUAAGCCUGGGAAACUGGGUCUAAUACCGGAUAGGACCAUCGUUUAGUGUCGGUGGUGGAAAGUUUUUUCGGUGUGGGAUGAGCUCGCGGCCUAUCAGCUUGUUGGUGGGGUAAUGGCCUACCAAGGCGUCGACGGGUAGCCGGCCUGAGAGGGUGUACGGCCACAUUGGGACUGAGAUACGGCCCAGACUCCUACGGGAGGCAGCAGUGGGGAAUAUUGCACAAUGGGAGCAAGCCUGAUGCAGCGACGCCGCGUGGGGGAUGACGGCCUUCGGGUCGUAAACUCCUUUCGCCAGGGACGAAGCGAAAGUGACGGUACCUGGAUAAGAAGCACCGGCUAACUACGUG
rnacentral:rRNA from 1 species